UACGAAGGGGGCUAGCGUUGCUCGGAAUCACUGGGCGUAAAGGGUGCGUAGGCGGGUCUUUAAGUCAGGGGUGAAAUCCUGGAGCUCAACUCCAGAACUGCCUUUGAUACUGAAGAUCUUGAGUUCGGGAGAGGUGAGUGGAACUGCGAGUGUAGAGGUGAAAUUCGUAGAUAUUCGCAAGAACACCAGUGGCGAAGUCGGCUCACUGGCCCGAUACUGACGCUGAGGCACGAAAGCGUGGGGAGCAAACAGG
rnacentral:rRNA from 1 species